CCACAUCUCUCUCUCUCUCUCUCUCUCUCUCUCUCUCUCUCUCUCUCUCUCUCUCUCUCAGCUUUCAAAUCGGGCCCUCAGAGUGAGAAGAAAAAGAAUCUAGAAGAUAACCUGUAUAUGAGAGAAUUCUGUAUUCUGUAGUUGCUGAACAAUCAAUUGCAAUACAUCAGUUGAACAUUUCUUUUCAUCUUUCUUCUUG
rnacentral:lncRNA from 1 species